ensembl:misc_RNA Metazoa_SRP Metazoan signal recognition particle RNA
GCCCUCAAAAGGUGUGCGUAGUAUCAGGUACUCAGGGGGCUGAGAUGGGAGGAUCCCAUGAGCCCAGGAGUUCUGGGCUGUAGUGUGCUAUGCCCAUCAGGUGUCCACACUAAGUUUAGCAUCAAUAGGGUGACCUCCUGGGAGCAGGGACCACCAGGUUGCCUAAGGAUGGUUGACAUGGCCUGGGACCAAAUGGAGCAGAUCAAAACUCCUGUGCUCAUCAGUAGUAGGAUAUGCCUGUGAAUAGCCAGUACACUCCAGCCUGGGCAACAUAGCAAGACCCCAUGUCU